GCAGAUGCCUGCAGACUUCUGAAAGGACAGGAUGUUACUCUGCAUGGGUAGAUGCCUGAAGCCUUCUGUAGUUCCAGGAUUUUAUUCUGUAUGGGCAGAUGCCUGAAGCCUUCUGAUGAGACACAGAACAUGCAGAAAGAGCGCAGCACUGAGCAACCAGGCUGAUCAUUUUUCCAGUCUUUGAUUCCCAUUCUCCUGUACAAUACCAUUGAGAUUGUUUACAUCAAGGUAAAUAAGCUCUGUUUGCUGAACAGGUUAGCAGUACCCACCUCUGUCUUCAGCUUGAGAAUAAAAGGACUAAAGUAGCCUGAUCUAAUACAGUGGCACAGGCAAGGGGGACACAAGAAAUCCUCAACCUGUAAAAACCCCUUCAGUUACCUUGGGCAGGGGUACAGGACAUGUUGAAUUUUACAAGUUUUUACAUCUAUUUUAAGUGCAAUGUUUUAAAGGCAGUAAUUAACAGCACUACAGACUUGAGGAGCACCAGGUAUUUCAGAAUUAUUGCUGCAAUUAAAUCCAUUGUCACUGCUAGAUCCAAGAGAACAGCAGAGAGGCAAAGUCACUCAAAGGCCUUUGGAAAUGGACUUUUUGGAAAACAGGUAUGAGGUUGGGAGGAAGAAAAGGAAGAUUAAUCUCAAGUCACCUGGAUUUGAAGGAGAUCAAUUCUUGCAAGAUAAAAGCUCAGUCUCCCACCAGUGGGUUGCAAUCAUCUUGCUGAUUUCGAAGCUUUUUCUUGAAGAUGGAAAUUGAUGUGGAUGGUUGGUAAAAUAUACUCCAGAUCUCACCAGCAGUAGUGACAUCACUGCAAUCCUCUGUUUCAGCUGCAGCUGGAAUCUGGUGGGACCUAGGAAACAAGAGUGAAUUCACUCUUGUGUUCGUGUGCUUGGGUAGCUGUGGUUAUCAAUGUGUCUGCACUGGGACUGCUCACAGCCUCCUCUGCAUCUGUGACACUUCUUUCUACCUGCUGUGCAAAAUGCAGGUUUUUGGAGUGUUUCUUGGUUGGCUUGAUUAAAUGAAAAGUUAGGUAUCCUUCUGCCACCCUAUGACAGCACUGACAUUAAGCUAAGAGGGCUCUACAGACUGGAGUUGUUGUUACUAUUGUAGUUGCUAUUAAUAUACUUUCCUUGUAUAUUUAAACAUGUUUGUACUUUGUAAAUACAAUAUUCAACAUUUUGGUUUGUUGAUAACUCACCAUCGUUUAUUUCAGUGAGUGUCCAUCUAGAGGACCCAAAAUUUACUUGGUAGGAGUGUGGAGGUUUUAAUUUUUUCCCUGCAAAGUAUUAUCAUAAUUUGACCUCUUCUCACCAAACCUGGAUGUCUGGUAACAUUUUCCUCCUUCCCCCUAAAGUACAAAUCUUGUCAAAUCAAUAGCAGAAGAGAUAGCAAAUGCUAUCCUAACAGACUGGAACGUUAAAAAAUGUCCUUAUUUAAGAUCUUCUAUGAGAAUUCAAAUAUGUAAUAACUAACUUGGUUUGGAAUAUGGCAAAUCUGACAAUUGGAAGGCAGAGGGGAGCCCCAGGUUUGGUUCAGAGCUGAGAUCUUGGUUCUCUUAGGUUGGUUUUGCUGCACACUCACCUCAUGGUAACAUGCAGAAGUAUCUUUGCUAUUAUGGCUGUAGCACUUAGGAUGAGCAGUGCUGUGAGGCUGUAUAUUGUCCAUUCUGCAAAAGAGAACAGGGGGAGCUCUCAGUACAUUCAUUUAUUUACAGUUUUUACAGUAAGAAUAUUGCAUGAAAGGAACAAACAGCUUUGUGAUCCUUUAUUCAAUUCUGGAAUUUGACAAUGCCUUAAACCUGCAAGUAUUUUCUGCAGACUGGCACAAACCGUACAACUUUCAGUCAGAACUGCUAUUUUCCCUUGCAGAACUCCUCCCAAUAAAAUUGAAAGCUGGCAAAAUUCAAAGCAUAUGCUAGUAAAAUUAUCUAGGAAAGGAAGCAGAAGUUCCCUUCCACCCACUGCCCCUUCCUCAAAGCACUGCCUGUACAUGAUGAUUUGAUCAGUAUUUUUGGAACUGUAUAAAACCCAAGGGUUCAGUUUCUGUGGUGUUCCUGAGCAGUUUAACACUAAGGCAGUUUAGGUGUAGCUGUGGUAAGGCAGCAUUAGGCUGGGGCUGGUCCCAGACUAUUCCUGGGCAGGUUCUGCACCUUGGCAGGUUUGGGUGUGCAGCUCCUGUUCCAGGUGUGGGAUGCAGCUCCAGGACUGUGGGAUUGAGGCCCCGCUCCAAUGAUACAUAAAAGAGUGGUUUAACAACAGAGAAUAAUAGUGAUAUUCACCAAGAGUGCAUUUCCAGCCUUCAAUUAUUCACAGCUCAGUAAUUUCCUGAAUUCAGUGAUGUCCUGAAGCUGAGUUCUAAACACAUGACAUUUCUCAGUGAGCCCUCCCCUACACCCAUUAACUUGUCUAGUCCACUUUGUGUUAUUGCUGAGACUUUUGUUAAUUGGGGUAACAGGGAUGCAAACAGCAUUCAAGCUAUUCUAGACUCUACAAGUAAAGUUUGCUCUUUUCUCAGCAAUUUGUGCCCUUCUGUGGCAUGCAGGUCACUAAAGCUGAUUGCAGUAAGGAAGCUGCUCUGACUCAUGUAUUUUGAGAUGCUUUCAUUCUCAAGAACUCAUCAUCUUCACACUAUUUCUGACUUGGCUGAGAAGUGUUUUGAAAUGUAAUGAGAGAAUCCCAGUUAGUGCUAAUUAGACUGAAUGAAAAUUCAUUUUUUAGUAAGAUGCACAGUGGAUCUGCUAAUGUGGAGGAGGCAGCAGAGGAAUAGUGACUCCAGAUUUUACUUGGGCAAAAUGUUUUUUCCCAUUUCCACAUUUUUUGGUGUCAUUACCAGGCAUGGAGCUGGUUGGAUGGCUUGGGCUGGUUGUGAUGACAUAGAGUAUCUUUGAUGACCGGGCUGCAUUGAUGCUGAGAUUUGCUUGUUCAUUUGUCCUCUCUGGAAGGGUGUGAUUCACUGGGAUCUUGUUUUGGUGCACAUUGUCCUUCACAGCUGAAAACACAGCAGUAUGAUUACAAUAAUAAACAAUCUCUUAACAGGUGUAA